GCCCACCUGACCUCCCACAGCUCAGUCUUCAUUGAGGGGCCCCAGGCUGGGGGUGAACACCUCCAGGAAGGAGACCAAGACUUUCUCACCUGAAAAGGAUGGGUGCCCUCCAUAUGGCCUAGCACACAGUGGUCCCUCUGUAAGCCUCACAGGAUUGGGUGAAGAAUAAACUGUGCUGAGGCU